CCUACGGGAGGCAGCAGUCGAGAAUCAUUCACAAUGGGGGAAACCCUGAUGGUGCGACGCCGCGUGGGGGAAUGAAGGUCUUCGGAUUGUAAACCCCUGUCAUGUAGGAGCAAAUUAAAAAGAUAGUACCACAAGAGGAAGAGACGGCUAACUCUGUGCCAGCAGCCGCGGUAAUACAGAGGUCUCAAGCGUUGUUCGGAAUCACUGGGCGUCAAGCGUGCGUAGGCUGUUUCGUAAGUCGUGUGUGAAAGGCGCGGGCUCAACCCGCGGACGGCACAUGAUACUGCGAGACUAGAGUAAUGGAGGGGGAACCGGAAUUCUCGGUGUAGCAGUGAAAUGCGUAGAUAUCGAGAGGAACACUCGUGGCGAAGGCGGGUUCCUGGACAUUAACUGACGCUGAGGCACGAAGGCCAGGGGAGCGAAAGGGAUUAGAUACCCUGGUAGUC
rnacentral:rRNA from 1 species